UGGCCUACGGGGGGCAGCCGUGGGGAAUAUUGCGCAAUGGGCGACAGCCUGCCGCAGCGCCGCCGCGUUCGUUCUUCCUUUCUUCUGAUCGUAAACCUCUGUCAGCAUGUACGAACGGUCACUGUGCUAAUCAGCAGUGAAUUGACGGUACCUGCAAAGGAAGCACCGGCUAACUCCGUGCCAGCAGCCGCGGUAAUACGGAGGGUGCGAGCGUUAAUCGGAAUUACUGGGCGUAAAGCGCUCGUAGGCGGUAUGUCAAGUCAA
rnacentral:rRNA from 1 species